GACGAACGCUGGCGGCGUGCUUAACACAUGCAAGUCGAACGGAAAGGCCCUGCUUUUGUGGGGUGCUCGAGUGGCGAACGGGUGAGUAACACGUGAGUAACCUGCCCUUGACUUUGGGAUAACUUCAGGAAACUGGGGCUAAUACCGGAUAGGAGCUCCUGCUGCAUGGUGGGGGUUGGAAAGUUUCGGCGGUUGGGGAUGGACUCGCGGCUUAUCAGCUUGUUGGUGGGGUAGUGGCUUACCAACGCUUUGACGGGUAGCCGGCCUGAGAGGGUGACCGGCCCCAUUGGGACUGAGAUACGGCCCAGACUCCUACGGGAGGCAGUAGUGGGGAAUAUUGCACAAUGGGCGGAAGCCUGAUGCAGCAACGCCGCGUGCGGGAUGACGGCCUUCGGGUUGUAAACCGCUUUCGCCUGUGACGAAGCGUGAGUGACUGUAAUGGGUAAAGAAGCACCGGCUAACUACGUG
rnacentral:rRNA from 1 species